UUACCUACCCUUGACAUGCCACUAACGAAGCAGAGAUGCAUUAGGUGCCCGAAAGGGAAAGUGGACACAGGUGCUGCAUGGCUGUCGUCAGCUCGUGUCGUGAGAUGUUGGGUUAAGUCCCGCAACGAGCGCAACCCUUGUCUCUAGUUGCUACGCAAGAGCACUCUAGAGAGACUGCCGGUGACAAACCGGAGGAAGGUGGGGAUGACGUCAAGUCCUCAUGGCCCUUAUGGGUAGGGCUUCACACGUCAUACAAUGGUGCGUACAGAGGGUUGCCAACCCGCGAGGGGGAGCUAAUCCCAGAAAACGCAUCGUAGUCCGGAUCGUAGUCUGCAACUCGACUACGUGAAGCUGGAAUCGCUAGUAAUCGCGGGUCAGCAUGCCGCGGUGAAUACGUUCCCGGGUCUUGUACACACCGCCCGUCACACCAUGGGAGUGGGUUUUGCCAGAAGUAGUUAGCCUAACCGCAAGGAGGGCGAUUACCACGGCAGGGUUCAUGACUGGGGUGAAGUCGUAACAAGGUAGCCGUAUCGGAAGGUGCGGCUGGAUCACCUCCUUAAGGGCGAAUUCCACAGUGG
rnacentral:rRNA from 1 species